rnacentral:rRNA from 1 species
GACAGAGGGUGCAAGCGUUGCUCGGAAUCACUGGGCGUAAAGGGCGCGCAGGCGGCUCGGCACGUCCGUUGUGAAAUCGCCCGGCUCAACUGGGGGGGUCAGCGGAUACGGUCGAGCUUGAGCAAGCUAGGGGGCAAUGGAAUUCCCGGUGUAGUGGUGGAAUGCGUAGAUAUCGGGAGGAACACCAGUGGCGAAGGCGGCUCUCUGGGACGGUACUGACGCUGAGACGCGAAAGCGUGGGGAGCGAACAGG